AAGCAUCACCUUCCCGUCUAGCCCGCGCUCGCCGACCGCCUCUCCCACAACCCGCUCAACAACUACCCGGCUCCUGCUUCCAUGAAAAUGCAAUAUAUUUCAUAGUCACCAAAAGGCAACAAAAGUAAGAUCACCAAUUAAAUCCUAGUAUGAUGAAACAUUUAUGCCAAAAUAGAUACGAAGCAACUCAUAGAUUAAAGUUAAAUCUAGCAAUAUAGUACACGUGGCACCAGAGUAAACCCCAUAUUAAACAAUGUGGUAGAUAGUGUUUACCUGAAUGCUGACAGAGGUAUACCAAGUAACAAAGCUAGUUACAGCCAAAGCUCGAUGCCUCCAAACCAAAGUUUAACUCCUAACAGGAAAUGUCUCCAAAUCAAGCUAGCUGCGGCCAAACUUUGAAACCUGAAAAAAUGGAGGGGAAAACGAAAUCAGGAAAGGCAAGAGAAAGAAAGUCAUAUAGGAUAAAAUUAUCUCACUGCUCCAAACAUAUACAGUACUGCUAAGAAAUCUCCUUAUUAGUUCUUUUAUAGAAUUAGCCCACUGAUGAGAUAAGAUAGUAAAUAUAGUUAUUUCUUACAACAAUCUUUGGAAGAUUAGUAUUAAACAUAUACAUCGGGAAUUCACAAAAAAAAACAUAUACAUCGGGAGAAGAAGUGGUUUUUUCCAGAGAACCAACUGAACAAAGAAACUACAAUUAAUAAAGUAACACAUAGUCCGUGAUGUAAUUCGUAGCAGUACAGGUCCGCUGAUGUUACCGCACAAACACAAAUUACCUGAAGCCUGCCAAUCAAAUUGAGUACGGUACGUAUUAAAAGAACUACUAUGUGAGCUAAGGAAGCAGCAUCGAGGACGCAAGGAAAUACGAUUGUCACUUGUCAAUACAUUCCCCUAAUCUCCCGAAUUAUACACUACAUGCUCAUACACUUCUAUUUUUGCAUCCUAUAUUAUGUUUGAUAGCUCAGUUGUUCCUGAAUUACACCAAAUAGAAUAUCAAUUCUUUUGGAAAAGGUAGACAUCCAUAUAAAAGACAUGGUGUUUAAAUACUUUUAUUAAAAGCCAUAACUUAAGUUCACAGAGGCAAUAGAACAAAUUAUCUAUAGUUUCCUUGUGCUCUAGAUUGUAGGUUCAUCACAGGUGCAAGAUAAGAAAUUAAAUUGCUUUGAAGAAUAUAAAGAUAGCAAAUGAAGAAAUCAGCCGCUGCCUACCGGACUCAGGUUUGCAGCAUACAAACAUAUAUACAGACCAUGAAUGUACUAUGACUUCAGAAGAAUAUACAUUAAUCCGCCAUAUUGUAGGGAAACAAAUCUGGAGCACAAAGUAGAGAGAAACACCUGUAACACACGUGCAUGAUAUAACACUACCUGAAUGUAACAAAAUAUAAUUGUAUUUCUAAUGGAACAAAAUAGAGCUGUGAGCAUUAACACUGUAUCUGGGCAUGGUACUCAAGAUGCUUCUUUAUUUUUUGUUCUUAUUACAUCAUGUACACUUCAAAGAGAGGCGCCGACUCUACAACUUUUCAAGCAUCAAACUAUAUAAGAGUAAUUACCCGUGCAUUUUGCCACUGUUUGUUAGAAAUACAUCACAUCAGAGAUGCAGAACCCAUUUUCUCUUAGGUCAAUAACAAACAUUAAACCUUGGAGACGGGAUUAGCAAUUCCGUGGAACAUUAACUUCUCCCACUGGUUCAAUACACUCUUCAAUUUUGAUGCUUAUUUUAGCAGCAUGGUAAAUGCCAUUUGCUGCUUCAAUACACUAUAUAUGCAUGGUUAUGCAAAUCAAAAUUGAAAGAUGGACUGCUGCAGAAGUGUAGAAAACAUGCAUGGUGGUGUUGUAAGAGUGAAUACUUAUUUAUGAGAUAAAUCGGCAUAUGAGCUGAUACUGUAUAAAUUAGGAAGAAAAAAUUGAACUAUGCACCAUUGAAAGACAAAUUAUGAAGUCCACAUUUUUGCUGAGACAUAUUGCAGAUUUAUAUUAGCAUUCAACAUCUAUUCACAGAAGACAAAAAAGGUCAGUCGAUUUGCAAAGCACACAUCUGCAUGAAUAUGUCACAAGUUAUAUGUUUGUCUUAAGGUUACAGAAUGAUGAUCAAUUCUCAGGGUAAAACUAACUGUAACAUGCCUCUCAUUAUUAUUUUUGUUAGAGAAGAAGUUACAUUUGCUACGUACUAAAAUUGUUGGGGUUCCAGACCUUGGGUUAUCUGAAGUGUGGGUAAGUUGUAGAGGUUAACAGCAUGGACAUCAUUCCAAUUUUACGGCAUGGGCAAAAACAUGUCAGAAUGCAAGUAUGCAGGUCAUGUAUCCCAUUGUUUCUGCUUCUGCAAUGAAUAUGUUGAAAGGUGAGUUACCUAUUAGGGAGAGACUCAGCUCAAUGUCCGCAGCUGAAAUCAGUGUAUCCUCUUUCUGUCAACCUUCUGUAUCUUUGAAAUCUUCAAGCUCAUGUCAUGGUAUUUGCUUCAAGGACAACAAACAAAUCAGGUAUGUGAUCCAACAAGAGAAAGGCAAUUUAACAAAUCCAUUCAGAAAUUGAGAGGUUGAUAGCAUUUUACUUAUGUGAUGACUACCUCGACCAAAAUCCAUAUAUCUUGGAAGAUGCAGGGCACCAAUCAGAACCAUAUUAAAGCAGUAGACAGAGAGGUCCGCGAAGAAGAAAUAAAUGCAAGAACAGAAAAAGGGAAAAGGAAAAGGAAAGUGAAGUGUAUUACUGUAUUGAUGCCACGACGAACAUACGACCUCGACCCCUUAUCACCUACAGUGCAACACGGAGGAAUGAAGAAACAAUUUGUAGUCCCAAGACUGAUGCUGGAUUCUACAUUGUUGAAUCUUUAGAUGCAUUGGUAAGUGGAUAUAUAAUGAAACUGCAACAAUACAAAGCUAAAUAGAUUCUUAUAAAAGGAUUAAAUAAUCAACUAAAGGAAUGUCUAAAGAUGAAAAUUAUUUGCAUCAGACCCAUCGGAAGUAGCUUUUGCCAUGUAGUUUAUGAGCUAAAGCUGAGCAUUUACUAAUCGAUAAAAGCAUCAAGCAUCAUCAGCUAUAAAACAAACUACAUUUUCUAAUAAGAUGGCACAGGCAUGAAAUGCCGAAGAAGCAGUCAUGAGAAAUCUGGACCUUCCUCGAGUUGCCUUUGUGUAAAUAGGAGGCAUUUUUGUCUAUGUAACCCUGAGAGCACAGAACCAAGCAUGAGAAAUCUGAACCUUCCUCGAGUUUCCUUUGUGUAAACAGGAAAAUUGAAAUCCUUUGCCACACAUCUGAACCUUCCAAGAAGCUGCUAUCAGGGUUACACAAAGGCAACAAAAACUACUCUGAAAAUUUCAUUGAUAGCUAGAGAUCU
rnacentral:lncRNA from 1 species